rnacentral:rRNA from 1 species
AUUGAACGCUGGCGGCAGGCCUAACACAUGCAAGUCGAGCGGAGCGGCGGACGGGUGAGUAAUGCCUAGGAAUCUGCCUGGUAGUGGGGGAUAACGUACGGAAACGGGCGCUAAUACCGCAUACUAUCAGAUGAGCCUAGGUCGGAUUGGCUGGUUGGUGUGGUAACGGCCUACCAAGGCGACGAUGCCUAACUGGUCUGAGAGGAUGAUCAGUCACACUGGAACGUGGACACGGUACAGACUCCUACGGGAGGCAGCAGUGGGGAAUAUUGGACAAUGGGCGAAAGCCUGAUCCAGCCAGGCGGCGUGUGUGAAGAAGGUCUUCGGAUUGUAAAGCACUUUAAGUUGGGAGGCGUUACCAACAGAAUAAGCACCGGCUAACUUCGUGCCAGCAGCCGCGGUAAUGC